UGGCAUCCUUAUUAACCCCCCGGUUGCUAUUUUAUGUUAGUCUCUGGGAAAAUGAAGGGUGCAAAAUCAAGCUUAGAGACAUCCAAAGCUGAGGGACACGUGUCAGUUGCUCUUGGUUAUUUCAGCUCUAAGACAUGA
ensembl:snoRNA small nucleolar RNA SNORA14